UACGAAGGGGGCUAGCGUUGCUCGGAAUCACUGGGCGUAAAGCGCACGUAGGCGGCUUCUUAAGUCAGGGGUGAAAUCCUGGAGCUCAACUCCAGAACUGCCUUUGAUACUGAAGAUCUUGAGUUCGGGAGAGGUGAGUGGAACUGCGAGUGUAGAGGUGAAAUUCGUAGAUAUUCGCAAGAACACCAGUGGCGAAGGCGGCUCACUGGCCCAUUACUGACGCUGAGGCACGGAAAGCGUGGGGAGCAAACAGG
rnacentral:rRNA from 1 species